CACGUAGGGAGCAAGCGUUGUCCGGAUUUACUGGGCGUAAAGGGCGCGUAGGCGGCCACCGCAAGUCGACUGUGAAAUCUCCGGGCUUAACCCGGAAAGGUCAGCCGAUACUGCGGGGCUAGAGUGCAGAAGGGGCAACUGGAAUUCUCGGUGUAGCGGUGAAAUGCGUAGAUAUCGAGAGGAACACCUGCGGCGAAGGCGGGUUGCUGGGCUGACACUGACGCUGAUGCGCGAAAGCGUGGGAGCAAACAGG
rnacentral:rRNA from 1 species